GCCUUCGUGGUGUAGUAGUCAGCACGCUCACCGCGUAACCGAGAGGUCCGUGGUUCGAUUCCCGGCGAGAGCG
rfam:Stegodyphus mimosarum contig105635, whole genome shotgun sequence.